CAUUUCUGCUUUCAUUAUUUAUUGCUUUCAGGAAUUUUACUAUAAUGUAUCUGAUUAAACAAUAAAUAAUGACGGAGUAAUAGUAAAUGUAUUAGAAGCGCUAAAAUGCUUUUUGAGAAAAUCCAUUGCUUUGUAACCAACAAGGAAUCUGAGCACAAGAAAAAAGAACAUGAACAAAGUUUUUGUCAUUCUGUUGCUUUUUGCGUUUGUUGGAACUGCUUAUAUGCAAUGCACAAAUGACUGCAGUACUGCUAGAUGCAAACAAGAAAAAUGCAAUGAACAUCAGCGAGAUGAAAGAGGAGAAUGUGAUUGUUGUCCCGUAUGCAGACCUUUCUAUGGACCAUGAUAAGAAAUAUUAUGAAGGUAAUAGUUAUAAAGUGUGAAAUGUUAACAAGGAGAGAAGUAUAAACUGUAAUGUAAUGUAAAUUCCUUUUACUGAAAUAAACGUUUUAAUUCGAAAAAAUG